GUGUCUUGAGCUCACCCAGGCCAGGGUUAAGAGCCAUGAGGUAUAAUCCUCAUUUCCCAUUUCAUCAGCUUCACCCUAACUCUCAAUGUUAGUGGUUAAGAGCUUCUGUUUACACUUGUACAACUGGCUUGUUUGUCAAGGUUGAUAUGACCCCUUGACUAAAGCCCAACUUUGUCUGAGCCUCUUGCUUGUGUAUAGAGUGUGCUAAUUGAUUGAUGUGAUUGCUUGUGUUUG
rnacentral:lncRNA from 1 species